rnacentral:sRNA from 1 species
GCUGGGCACGGUGGCACAUGCCUGUAAUCCCAGCAGCUCAGGAGGCUGAGGCAGGAGGAUUACCUCAGCAACAGCAAGACCCAGUCUCUA